AGAUGUGAGGGCAAUCUGUCUGCCACAUCUGUCACUCCAUUGAUCACCAGGGUUGAUUCGGCUGAUCUGGCUGGUUAGGCAAGUGUCACCUUCCUCCUUCACCACUCCAUGUGUGUCCCUCCCAAAGUUGUGCACUCAAAGAGAAUGACCUUCCCUGAUAGAGGAGGACGGUUCUUCAGUCAAGGGUGUACAAGUAGCUGCCCUCCCCUGCUAGAAGCUCCAAACAGGCUCUCAAGCUCCAGCAGGUAAAUGCAAAUUAAAGCCACAACAUGAUAGCAAUAGAUAUCAAUCAGAAUGGUUUGAAU
rnacentral:snRNA from 1 species